rnacentral:snRNA from 1 species
GGACAUGAGAGUGAUCCACUGAUCACCAGGGUGGAUUCUACUGAUCUGUCUGGCUAGGCGGUUGUCCCGUUUCUCUCUCUUCACUCCAUGUGCUUCCCUCCGGAGGCUGUGCACUCAGUGGAAUGGGACUUCCUUCCCCGAUAGGAUAGGACAGUUCUUCGGUCAAGGGUAUAUGAGUAGCUGUGCUCUCCUGCUAGAACCUCCAAACAGCUCUCAAGGUCCAUUGUAGGAGAAUGUAGGGUAGUCAAACUUCCAAGACUCCAGACACAUUCAAAUGAGGCACUGCACAUGGCAGUGUGCCUUUCUUA